GCCUGGGUUGCUCAGUGUUUGAGCGUCUGCUUUCGGCUCAGAUUAUGAUCCCUGGGUCCUGGGAUCGAGUCCCACUUCAGGCU
rnacentral:tRNA from 1 species